rnacentral:rRNA from 1 species
CACGUAGGGGGCGAGCGUUGUCCGGAUUCAUUGGGCGUAAAGGGCGCGCAGGCGGCCCGGAAAGUCGGAUGUGAAAACUCGAGGCUCAACCUCGAGAUGUCGGCGGAAACCAUCUGGCUAGAGUCCGGAAGAGGAGAGUGGAAUUCCUGGUGUAGCGGUGAAAUGCGCAGAUAUCAGGAAGAACACCUAUGGCGAAGGCAGCUCUCUGGGACGGUACUGACGCUGAGACGCGAAAGCGUGGGGAGCGAACAGG